rnacentral:rRNA from 1 species
CCCUUAGAUGUCCUGGGCUGCACGCGCGCUACACUGACGAACUCAACGAGCUUAUCACCUUGGCAGAGAUGUCUGGGUAAUCUUUUGAAAGUUCGUCGUGCUGGGGAUAGAUGAUUGUAAUUAUUCGUCUUGAACGAGGAAUUCCUAGUAAGUGUGAGUCAUCAGCUCGCGCUGAUUACGUCCCUGCCCUUUGUACACACCGCCCGUCGCUCCUACCGAUUGAAUGGUCCGGUGAGGUUCUCGGAUUUUUUCUGUUGUUUGGUUCGCUAAACGAUUGAAGAGAGAAGUUACCCAAACCUUACCAUUUAGAGGAAGGAAAAGUCGUAACA